ACUAGUAUUGAAGUCCACGGGGAUCAGGCUUUCCGAAAGGAGGGUGGGGGGAUGUUUGGUUCCCCCUGCUUGGGCAGACUGGAGAGCAUUGUGUAGCCACUUUUGUUGGCUACGUUAUGUUUGGCCUCUGCUGAUCGAGUUUGUCACCUGAAUUCUACUACCCUUGCUUUUUGCGCACCCAUUGUUUCCUCGGUAGGCUUGCCUGCCAGUAGGACCAUUUAAAACCCUUUGUGAUUGCAAUCAGCGUCAGAAACAACGUAAUCGUUA
rnacentral:misc_RNA from 1 species